AUCCUUUUUUAGUUUGGCAUUUAUUUAGUCACCAUUUGAACAAAUAAUAAUCCGCUUGGACUGACUGACCAAGCGGUCAAGAUGGAACUGGCCCUGGACAUAAGGCCAUACAAACGCUUCACACCGCGUGGCCGCUGCCACUCUAACCUGGUGGUCCCAGCGCGCACGACCCACGUGGAGUUCCAGGUCUCCGGCAGCCUCUGGAACUGCCGGUCUGCAGCCAACAAGGCUGAGUUCAUCUCAGCCUAUGCUACCCUCCAGUCCCUAGACUUCCUGGCGCUGACGGAAACAUGGAUUACCACAGAUAACACUGCUACUCCUGCUGCUCUCUCUUCGUCUGCCCACGUGUUCUCGCAUACCCCUAGAGCAUCGAGCCAGCGGGGUGGUGGCACUAGAAUCCUCAUCUCUCCCAAGUUCCCUUGGAGAGUUCAUCAAUGAGCUUGACGCCUUGAUAAGUUCCUUUCCUGAAGAUGGCUCACCUCUCACAGUUCUGGACCAUUUCCGGAGACCUUCUCCCCUUCCUCACCUCGCUCAUCAACUCAUCCUUGACCGCUGGCUACGUCCCUUCCGUCUUCAAGAGAGCGAGAGUUGCACCCCUUCUGAAAAAACCUACACUCGAUCCCUCCGAUGUCAACAACUACAGACCAGUAUCCCUUCUUUCUUUUCUCUCAAACUCUUGAACGUGCCGUCCUUGGCCAGCUCUCCUGCUAUCUCUCUCAGAAUGACCUUCUUGAUCCUAAUCAAUCAGGUUUCAAGACUGGGCAUUCAACUGAGACUGCUCUUCUCUGUGUCACGGAGGCUCUCCGCACUGCUAAACUAACUCUCUCUCCUCUGCUCUCAUCCUUCUAGACCUAUCUGCUGCCUUUGAUACUGUGAACCAUCAGAUCCUCCUCUCCACCCUCUCCGAGUUGGGCAUCUCCGGCGCGGCCCACGCUUGGAUUGCGUCCUACCUGACAGGUCGCUCCUACCAGGCGGCGAAUCGCAUCUCUGCAUGUCUGUCAGGCAUAUCAGUGUGGAUGACGGAUCACCAGCUCAAGCUGAACCUCGGCAAGACGGAGCUGCUCUUCCUCCUGGGGAAGGACUGCCCGUUCCAUGAUCUCGCCAUCACGGUUGACAACUCCC
rnacentral:lncRNA from 1 species